UACGUAGGGUGCAAGCGUUGUCCGGAAUUAUUGGGCGUAAAGAGCUCGUAGGCGGUCUGUCGCGUCGGCUGUGAAAUCCCGAGGCUCAACCUCGGGUCUGCAGUCGAUACGGGCAAACUAGAGUAUUGCAGGGGAGACUGGAAUUCCUGGUGUAGCGGUGAAAUGCGCAGAUAUCAGGAGGAACACCGGUGGCGAAGGCGGGUCUCUGGGCCU
rnacentral:rRNA from 1 species